UACGGAGGGUGCAAGCGUUGUCCGGAUUUAUUGGGUUUAAAGGGUGCGUAGGCGGUUCUUUAAGUCUGGGGUGAAAGCCCGUUGCUCAACAACGGAACUGCCCUGGAAACUGGAGGACUUGAGUACAGACGAGGGUGGCGGAAUGGAUGCUGUAGCGGUGAAAUGCAUAGAUAGCAUCCAGAACCCCGAUUGCGAAGCAGCUGCCUAGACUGUAACUGACGCUGAGGCACGAAAGCGUGGGGAGCGAACAGG
rnacentral:rRNA from 1 species